GACGAACGCUGGCGGCGUGCCUAAUACAUGCAAGUUGAGCGCUGAAGGUUGGUACUUGUACCAACUGGAUGAGCAGCGAACGGGUGAGUAACGCGUGGGGAAUCUGCCUUUGAGCGGGGGACAACAUUUGGAAACGAAUGCUAAUACCGCAUAAAAACUUUAAACACAAGUUUUAAGUUUGAAGGAUGCAAUUGCAUCACUCAAAGAUGAUCCCGCGUUGUAUUAGCUAGUUGGUGAGGUAGAGGCUCACCAAGGCGAUGAUACAUAGCCGACCUGAGAGGGUGAUCGGCCACAUUGGGACUGAGACACGGCCCAAACUCCUACGGGAGGCAGCAGUAGGGAAUCUUCGGCAAUGGACGAAAGUCUGACCGAGCAACGCCGCGUGAGUGAAGAAGGGUUUCGGAUCGUAAAACUCUGUUGGUAGAGAAGAACGUUGGUGAGAGUGGAAAGCUCAUCAAGUGACGGUAACUACCCAGAAAGGGACGGCUAACUACGUG
rnacentral:rRNA from 1 species